AUGACUGUACCCGAAUAAGAAGGUCCGGCUAACUUCGUGCCAGCAGCCGCGGUAAUACGAAGGGACCUAGCGUAGUUCGGAAUUACUGGGCUUAAAGAGUUCGUAGGUGGUUGAAAAAGUUAGUGGUGAAAUCCCAGAGCUUAACUCUGGAACUGCCAUUAAAACUUUUCAGCUAGAGUAUGAUAGAGGAAAGCAGAAUUUCUAGUGUAGAGGUGAAAUUCGUAGAUAUUAGAAAGAAUACCAAUUGCGAAGGCAGCUUUCUGGAUCAUUACUGACACUGAGGAACGAAAGCAUGGGUAGCGAAGAGGAUUAGAUACCCUCGUAGUCCAUGCCGUAAACGAUGUGUGUUAGACGUUGGAAAUUUAUUUUCAGUGUCGCAGGGAAACCGAUAAACACACCGCCUGGGGAGUACGACCGCAAGGUUAAAACUCAAAUGAAUUGACGGGGACCCGCACAAGUAGUGGAGCAUGUGGUUUAAUUCGAAGAUACGCGCAGAACCUUACCAACACUUGACAUGUUCGUCGCGACUCUAAGAGAUUAGAGUUUUCGGUUCGGCCGGACGAAACACAGGUGCUGCAUGGCUGUCGUCAGCUCGUGUCGUGAGAUGUUGGGUUAAGUCCCGCAACGAGCGCAACCCUCACUUUUAGUUGCCAUCAUUAAGUUGGGCACUCUGAAAGAACUGCCAGUGAUAAGCUGGAGGAAGGUGGGGAUGACGUCAAGUCCUCAUGGCCCUUACGUGUUGGGCUACACACGUGCUACAAUGGUAUCUACAACAGGAAGCAAGACUGCG
rnacentral:rRNA from 1 species